rnacentral:rRNA from 1 species
CUGGCGGCAGGCCUAACACAUGCAAGUCGAGCGGAUGACGGGAGCUUGCUCCUUGAUUCAGCGGCGGACGGGUGAGUAAUGCCUAGGAAUCUGCCUGGUAGUGGGGGACAACGUUUCGAAAGGAACGCUAAUACCGCAUACGUCCUACGGGAGAAAGCAGGGGACCUUCGGGCCUUGCGCUAUCAGAUGAGCCUAGGUCGGAUUAGCUAGUUGGUGGGGUAAUGGCUCACCAAGGCGACGAUCCGUAACUGGUCUGAGAGGAUGAUCAGUCACACUGGAACUGAGACACGGUCCAGACUCCUACGGGAGGCAGCAGUGGGGAAUAUUGGACAAUGGGCGAAAGCCUGAUCCAGCCAUGCCGCGUGUGUGAAGAAGGUCUUCGGAUUGUAAAGCACUUUAAGUUGGGAGGAAGGGCAGUAAGUUAAUACCUUGCUGUUUUGACGUUACCGACAGAAUAAGCACCGGCUAACUCUGUGCCAGCAGCCGCGGUA